ensembl:lncRNA
GUUUUGAUACGUGAGAGAUUUGUGAUGUUUAUCAUGUUUGGAGUCUCAAGUUAGUGUGUUUUCUUGUGUAGUUAGUGUGUAGUGUAGUCGUUUUGUUUUGCGUGUCAGUUCUACUAGUGAACGUCACAGUUGCUGCAACUGUGUGCUGGAAAAGCUUAAAAAGGGACCUUGAAAGUGCUUAAAAAGUGCUUGAAUUUGACCCUGAAGAAAGCGUACGAACCCUGGAUUAUGGAUUCACUGUGAUUCACGUAUUUAAAUGUAUGGCAGCAUACACAAAUCCUGACAGGAGUAACCUUCUCCACAUUGGAGAAGGUUGGAGUGGGCCAGUUGGAGUCGCGGCUACACCAGCUGCUAUGAUGAGAGCGGACCACAGAGACUUCAAAAAGAAUGGCAGGGCUGUGAUCUGCGGGAUCCCUGGCACCCCUGCGAAACAUCAGCCAUCAUCGGCUGGGGCUUUUAAGGAGCUGUGCAGAAGAUGUCUGGUGUCGGAGUAUUGUUUCAUCGCAAGUGCCAGCCUUGCUUCUCUGAUCAGCCCCAUGUCCUCUAAGGAUCAUCUCCAUCUGGACUCCAACUUUUCUCCUUUACCUUUGCCACAGCCUGCCUGCACUCAACCCUCCUCAGACCUUUGGCUCCUCAUCGCCCCCAGUAAUCAGUUCGUGACAAACCGUUCGAUUACUCCCCUCACACCCCGGAAUUGUGUUGUUUUUGUCAUUGUAAAUUAAACCACUGCACCGCAUCCAAACAUGUCUGUGUGUUCUGCUCCUGAAGUCCACCGAUAUUAUGUCAUAACAAUUACAGAGACCUGGUUACAGCAGGAUGACUGUCUGAUGCUCCUUUAGUUAGCAGAAUGAGUCUGACCUCUGUCACAAUCCUCAAAGUACAUGCUGAAGAGGGGGAUUGGCAGGAAUCUUCCACACCAGGUUAUCUAGCAACUAUAGACCCAGACAGGGUUUUAAUUCAUUAGUCUAAUUCUUAGCUUUG